UAUAAACAGGCCAUGGGUAAUCAACCCGAACAGCGCGCCAAUGGUGACGAAAUAAUCAAUACGUUACGCUAGAAGUUUACACGCACAUCUAUCAACCAACACACAAUGGUCCAAUUCAGCUGCUAUCGAGCGCAGUUUAUUUUUCUGCGACGCUGCAGGAUAGUGGUCCAAUGGGAAGGUCUCAGCGCGAUAAUGCAGCGUCAGUAGAGUUGAGAUAACACUAGAAAGGGUCGCCCUAAUGAGCCGCAAUGUGCGUAAUCAAGUGCACACGAACAAUGCCGGUACCGAGCGAGGUUUGACCUCCACGCCACGCCUGGCGCUCGCAAUAGAACUAACACCUGCACAAAGGCACUCGUUCACGAGGCUCGCACCACCUAGAAAUACUGAAGCAAGUCUUCCAAACGACAAUCAAACAUCUGAGCACACCCCAUUUCCUUUAUUUGGCGUUAGACUCGCACCCGUAUAGCGCGUUGAUGUGGAUUUAGUCCAUUAGAAUGUGCCAUUAGUCUCGCACUUGCAUACUAGCCCGGGCAUCAGGUUUCGCCUGAUGUAAUUACAUUGCCUUUUACGGCCGCGUGACUCCAAAGUGUUUUCGAGGGAUGUUCACGGAUAUCAAAGAAGCACGAGGAUUUCCUGAGGGUUAGUGAGCAUGCGGGUCAUGCCGUAAGGACUGGACUGAGGUUCAAAUCAUGCGAGACGAAUGUCCGAGAGAUUUUUCCUUAAACCUAUAAAAUGGCGGCAGACACGCCACUACACUUCGCGCAGAGUCUAUUAAGUUUCAGCAUUGUGAUGUCAGGCAGUAUAUACGCCUAAACUAGUGACUGUGAAAUGGCGCAGAGUCUAUCUGGUUUCAGCAGUUGUUAGGCAGUAUAUACGCCUACCCUACUAACUAUGGUCUAUCCGGUUUCAGCACUUGUGAGGCGGUAAAUACGCCUAAACUAGUGACUGUGACAUGGCGCAGAGUUUUUCUCAGUGGUUUUCAGGUCGCACCCCGUGGGGGCGGUCACUGUCUCAGCGCGUAUUCUCCGCAUGCUAUUGCCCCCUGAAGAGCAAGCACUGCUUUGCUAGCAAACCGCUAGAUUCCAGCAGACUAUAGCGCUCACCCUCGAAUAGGACCAAUACACAUGUUAUUACUCCCCGCAAUAACACAAUCAAGACUCUCUUCUAUUGCAGGGUUUCAAAUACUUUCUUAAGCAAUAAGCUAAUAUUCAACACGCAAAACCGUUAAAGUUUUGUUGCUUGAAAUGAUUGUCGUAGUCAUGAAUAUGAGAAUAUAGUCCCAAGGUGACGGGUAUUGGCCAUAAAAGCAGCAGUAACAGAUAGCCCUCCAAUCGACCCUUUACUGAUUAUUGCACUUGCAGCAAGAUCAAGUUUCCAUAAGGCUAUUAUUGACCUUCACAAUAUUAAAGAGGUACUUUCCUUGUUCGAGCAGAGAUUCUGAGAUCUAUGUUUCGAAUUAGAAAAGAUUAUAACGGAGAAUCGCUAGCUGUGGCAUGCUUGCGUCAGAUUGCAUUCGCGCAAGUAAAAAAAAAUAGGACAUUCUCUCUCGUGAAUGUGUGGAAUGUUUUCCUGUUGUCGUAAGAUUGUUUUAUUCAUAUAUCGGCAUUGUAAGUAAAUCACACACUUUCUAAAAUCAAAGACAAAAGACAUGAUGAAUACUUUGUCUUGAGAGUAUCUCGAACGCGAGUAAACGCUGGCACAGGUUCAAUCGAGACCUCUCAGUGGCCAUGUGAUCAGGCAGUCUGAAAACGUUAAUCUAAACUCACUGAUAACGCGAUGGCUGGCUGUUGCGCUCAAAAUAACCGAUAGUGCCUGCUUGAAUGAUAAUAACUCGUCGAGAUCACUUCCGAGGACGAAUUCCGCAAGAGAUACCGAAAGAUGCAAACUAGUAUUAGCCUGAGGGGUCAGACCAUGAGCGCAGUGACGGUUGCAAGGUUUGGUAUCCUAAUCGAUUUUUAGUGUACUUUGGAUAGAAACACUAGAAAUCGCCAACUAAAGAGUUUCAACUGCAGAAACUCUUAGUUUUUCUUUCACAUAUAUCAACUACUCAGCGACACUUGUUUUGAAAGGUAUUCAUUUACCUCAUGGUAUUUAUAGCACUAUUGAUGAAGGAGUAAAGGUCGUCAAUGCCUAACCAUGGGUUAUAUGUCCCAUUCUUAAAGGCGGAAACGUAUCGUCCAAAUAAACCUCACUUCUACUUAGGCCCUAUCAAACUUGGCUUGGCUCCCAAAUUCUGCAUGGGCAGGAACUCUGCUAAGAUACUUAACUCGCAUUGGGUUAUGUAGCGUCUGUACAAUCAACACUUGCUUCGCCCCCGAUCAUUUGACCUUUGCGACUUUUCUGUAAAUAUUCAACACGCAAAACAGUGAAAUAUUCAGAAGCAGGAUAUGGCAUAUUACGGGCAUAUUUUCCACGCGUAUUAACGUAGGUUCUUUAGAAACCAUUAAAAAUACAUAGCUUAACCUCGGGGGAAAUCGCUAUCUUAAGCCUGCUCAUUUCCCUGCUAAAAGAAGUCCCGAGGACACCUCUGUUGGGACAUGCACAUGUGAAAUAAAUGCCACCAUGGGGCCUUUCUUCGAGAUUUUCGGUCUACUUCAACUAUUUUGCGCUGCAGCGGUGUACAAAUCGCGCUGCUUCCAUAGAAAAGUCCUUUGUUCCCACAGUGCUAUCUGAUGUCUGCACGACAGUGGCUAAUAUCGGUGAUUUGGAAAAUGCGCAACAACUGAUAACCACCUGUCUGUCGCGGGAGGAGACAUCGGUAUACGACAUGAUAGUCACUCUAUAACGCCGCCAUGUAAUAAUCAUAGCUCUCCUUAAAGGGGAAACGGAGUGUUUCCGAUAAACAGACUGACACUUUUCCUGAGACUAGAAAUUUCUAGUGCGAAAUGCGAAACGGGACCCUAGGGAGAAAGGUUUUUAUUUCAAGGGGAAAUAAAAACAGGGGAUUUUCAACACUGGUGCCAGGAACUCAGGGUGGAUUUUUAAACAACGCUGGCUCUUACACUAAUCCUCGCAUCGUCUAGGGAUGAGCGCCGACCGGAAGUGAGUGGUCAUGAGGCGAGCACGCUCCGUCUAGAGUGCGUCCAGGGGCACGACAUAAUGAUUUGCACUUGGGCUGUGUGUGUGCACUUGUUUUUGAAAAAAAGCGCUCCGCUGCGUGUGGUUUUCCAUGCGUUCAUCGCGAGAUUAAACGAGAAAAAAAAAGCGCUGGUUAAAACAUGAUUCUAAAAAACGGCGUUCUGCAGGCAAAUAUUACAUCAAAUAUAUAGUAGAACAAGAUUGCUGUUUUAUCCUUUCUCUUUCGACGCAGUCACGAAAAAAAAAACUCCAUCCAAAGGCUAAGGUUAAAUUUGAGGCUACGCCAGGCCCCAGGGGCGAACAGGAUAGCAAAAAAAAAAAAAUAAUAAUAAUAAUAAUAGGGGCCAUAGUAAUCGAGUAAAAUUGUUGGAAGGCUGUGGUUCACUGCGACAGUCUGUGGGAUUAUCUCUUAUCGUAGAUUAGUCGGAAUAAGAGGGACUAAAACAGAGAAUAUGGCGGAAAGUGGCGGCAUACAGAAGUGACCGCAUGCUCGAAGAUCCCGCGUACUUUGCGGGCGCUCUCGGAGUGAAGCUCGAGACUCUGGUACCCCGCUCCCAAAGGCUGCAAAGUACGCUGGACCUUCGAGCAUGGAGUGACCGUGGAUUCGUUUACACGUAAGGACUCUUACAUUUGACCCAUUUCCUGUUUCCCUCUACUCUACUCUAUAAUUUACCGAAAACAAGAUUUACGUAAGCCAGGUAUGCAUGGAAGGUCUAGUGCAAACUGCAGGUGAUUGAAAAACAACUUGCACAGCACUGCGAGCGCGCGACGACACGUGAUAAGAACACUCCGCUGGCUGUGGGGACCUGGUGAGGAAUUCGUGAACAAAAUUCCCGCCAAAGACAAGUGCAGAACUCACGAGCCAUACACUCAUCAAUGCGAACUUUACCAAACUGUUUGAGGAAGACAACCAUUUUCAUUGUAGGUUGAUUGACAGUUCUCUUAAUACGCUGUGACAGAUAAUGGCUUCCCAGAUGCUAAGACCGCGCAACAGGGUUUGUGUGGCUAUGAGUAUUUUAUUUGUUUUUAUAUCGAAGUGCCGAUUUGACAGACAGGUUGAUUGACAGUUCUUUUAGUAUGCUGUGACAGCUCGAUGGUUUUCCAGAUUCUGGGCCGCGCUAGGGUUUGUGGGCAUAUUGCUUAUUUUUGUAGCGAUUCGCAUGUUUUCUGUCUCAGGAAUUCCAACCAAGAGAACCUUGCUUGUCGCAGCGCCAUGACGUAAGUCCACAUUAGAGUGGGGAUUAACGUCUGUUGUUUGUUUUUGUAGCGAAUCGCAUGUUUACUGUCUCAGGAGUUCCAACUGAGAGAAUCUGUCUCGGUGGUGUGCGACGGUGUACGGGUCACGAAGCCUGGGUUUUUGCUACCAAUGCGAAGUUGUUUUCUUAGAAAACCAAACUCGUCAAAUCCUUCUCCUAAUGGAAAAUCUCUUCUGUUUCUGAGAGGGCUAAAGUCUAAUCUCAAGUGCAUGACAGCGUCUAGGAACACACGCAGCCUUAUCUAGAAACACAGGAUGGCAAAAUGGCGGCUGUCAGAAACUCUUUAAGACCCAACUCACAAGAAUAGUCUUCCAUAGCAUGAUCAGCACUUUCUUAAUGGGGAAAUGAGGAGAGCUGCCUGCACAGAACUUGAGAACCAUCUCAAACAGUAUGACAGCUAGGCAGUCAUCACCUACAAUAGGCAGGCCUAGAAAGAGAGUGUUGAAUACAGUGGGACCUCAAUAUAAAAGUACUUGAUGUUAUUUUAGUUUAAUCAUGUAAAUAUAUAGCAAUUAUGGCAAACUAUAGCAAACUGAAAGUGAUUUCUUGUCCUAUCCUGUGGUACAGUAUAAUACAGAGAACUGAUCCUGAUUUAAUUGUUUUCCUGUUCCAUUGCCAUAUUAUCAUAUCCUCUACAGGGUUCUGUUUCAUAUACAGUGAAAGCAAAAUUGUAGAAACUGUUAGAAAAAUAAAUUAGGGAAGGAAUCACAUAGAUUUUAUGCAAGCCCUUUUCACAAACCCUGAUUUUUGGUUUGAAAAGUCGGGGCUCACCCAAGCUAUGCACUAAGUGAUGCAGGCAGGACAGCAACUAGUGACUUACUUAAUUCCUGGCAGAAGAAGUGUUUGAUUGACUUGGAUUCUGGUGUGUCAGUCUUGUGUGGCACACGCAUCCACUCAACCAUUGUGUAAAGCAAAUUCAAAUAGAUUCUAGAAAAAUGGAAAACAGUUAAAAAUAGUUUGAGCCAUCAUUUAUUAAACUUUGCAAAUUUGAGUUGGCUUACACCAUCCUGGGAGCUUGAGUAACAGUUAGAGAUAAUUGUACUGUAACAAGCAUUUCACUGUAUGUAACUUUAUAUAUAUAUAUAUAUAUAUAUAUAGUGUUGGUUUGAGAAAAAUACAAACUACAUAGGUUUCCCUACAGGUCUGUUUCGUGGUUGCCCACUCAUCAGGGGAUUUUAUAUAUAUAUAUAUAUAUUUCAUAGCAGAGUGCAUAGCAAACACUACCUGAUAUUAAUGCUAUCAACCAUGGAUAUUGAAGGCUUGUGAAGGGCUGAUGUUGCAGCCUGACUGUCACUGUAAAUCAAAGGCAAAUGUGAGUCAAGUAUCUAUAGAUCAAUCACCAACAAGGUGAUCUCACAAACUCACUCAAUCUCCAUUUGUAACAUCUGCACAAUGACAGGGAAUGUCUCAGUCUCAUAGAGAAGGAGGAUAUUCUGAUUUGUCUGCAAGAAAAGGGUUAAACCAUGAUAAUCUGGUUAAACAUUAGAUUAUAUUGUUACAGUUUUAAUUUAAAUAAUGAGAUACUGCUCGUCACAAAACAAAAUCUAAAUAUACCCACCC